rnacentral:misc_RNA from 1 species
UCCGGUUUGUCACCGGCAGUCUGAAGUGAGUCCCCAACUUAAUGCUGGCAACACUUCACGGGGGUUGCGCUCGUUGCGGGACUUAACCCAACAUCUCACGACACGAGCUGACGACAGCCAUGCACCACCUGUGCACUGGCCCCGAAGGGCUGCCGUGUUUCCACGACAUUCCAGUGCAUGUCAAGCCCUGGUAAGGUUCUUCGCGUCGCGUCGAAUUAAGCCACAUGCUCCGCCGCUUGUGCGGGCCCCCGUCAAUUCCUUUGAGGUUUAGCCUUGCGGCCGUACUUCCCAGGCGGCACGUUUAUCGCGUUAGCUUCGCCACAAAAGGGGUCGAUUCCUCUUACAGCAAACGUGCACCGUUUACAGCUAGGACUAC